CAAAAAGGUUGUCUAUAUACUUGUAUAUAGUGCCAUGUCUUUCCGAGGUGAUGAAAAAAGAUCUCUAUUGAAUUUUAUCGAGAUAAAACUAUUGGAAAACUACAAAAUAUCAAUCCAACAAAAGACAUGAUAUAUGUACAUCAUAUUAUUCUGAUAGUAUAUUUUUUUCUAUGAGUAAUUUUCUAUCCCGACAUGAGCUAGAAUGGAGAGAGAAAAAAGGGAAAAGAAAAAAUUAAUAAUUCUGCAAGAUAUUUUCGGAAGUACUGUGCUUGAAAACUUUCACCGUCCUUUUGUCCGCAGUACCUGAUGCAGGUACAAUAUUAUAGAUACCAAGGCUUGAAAGUACGAUUUAGAUUUUAAAAACUAUGCUCAUGCAGAGGGUUUCAUGCAGUUAAGCGCAACACGAUGAUAUUAACAUGUUUUAGUCAUGAAUUUAUACUUUAGACCGAUUAAAUAAUUUAUUGCGUUAUCCUUGGCAUUUGUCUCUCUAUAGCUCUGAUAUUUUAAAAUUAUAUUUCCAGUCGCAGUGGACACAUACAGAUUUCUCGUAAAGAUAAUUUAGAAAGUUCCUAAUCUCGCUCGAAGAAGAGAGAGCUUCAUCGAUAUAUAUUUAUCAAAUUCUAUAUACAUAAUUUUGGACGCGUGCCUCUAAUAAAUCGACUUUUAUCAAAAUCGAAAAUCUCUGUAUCAGCAUGACCUAUCUUCUAAGUUUUGGAAUUUGUUUUGGAUAUACGAACAUACAUUACUCAGCAGACGCACAUGUAUUAUUAAUACACUUUUUACUUUCAGCGACUUAAGCAAAUGCUUAAAUUUAAACUUAAGCGGAUGCUUACCUAAGAGUUAGAUUUACCUAUAUGUAUAUUAUAUAUACCUGGCUAUACAAUGGCUCAUGAUUUUUUAACGCUUCCACUUAAUUGUUAAACUACAGAUUAGUCUUAAGGAUCGCAUAGGACGACUUUCAUUGUGAUAAUUCCUAAUCAGGUCGAGUCUGGUAAACAAGGGAAAGAAAAAGAAAAAAAGAUACUGUUGUCAAAACGAGAGUAAAUAGAGAAACUAAAGUAACAGUGAUAACAGUGUUAAGGAUCAAGUGAUAGAUAUAAGCAGAAUCCGCACGUGUGUGCGCGCGCGCGAUAGAGAAAGAGAGAAAGAAAAAAAGAGUGAUUGGAUGAGUGAGUGAGCGUGAGAAAGAAAAGAGAGAAAGUGCGAUAAUAGAAUUGAUAUUUAUAAUUAAAUAUUAUUGUACACACAGAUAAAACACAUUUCUCAUAAAGAAGAUAAUCCAAGGCCAAUUUGCAAAAAUCUUGUAGAACUGCGAAAAUCACGAUUACGAUUAUUUCUUACGACUUUCUCUUAGUGAAAUAUAAGUUUAAACAUUGACAAAUGAUUGCUAAACGAAUGCUAAUGCAUUUAUUGAUACAAAGAGAGAUUGAUACAAAUUUAUUGAGAAGAAAACUUAUUCUAUGAUUCACAUAAUUUUCAAUGUAGAUUGUGUUUGAGUUAUUGUGACACAUACAGUUGGGUGACUCAUCAAUAAAUGAGUUGCAUAGUAUAAAUAAAUAAAACAGAAAAUUUACGUUGCUCAUACAGCGAUGUUGUUAACGUUAAACGUUAAUUACACUUCAACAAGUGUAUUGACAUUUAAAUGUUAAUUACACAAUUGAAUAUAAUUUCACAAAACUAUCGCGACUGUAAUGUUAUGCUUUCUGUUGGGAGAGCGAUGUUUUCACCUGAGCUUGCUGAAAUGUCUGCUGUAUCUUGUCGAAUGUCUCUCUUGUAACCUGUCGGUAACAUAGCGUCUUAUCAUCAGAGCAUACGUCAUAUUAAUUACGUAGUUCAUCUUCGUGAACAUAGAGGCGCUUGUGAGGGCCACAAAUCAACUUUAGCUUCUUAUGUUUUUCUAUGGUGAAAUUCUAAUGCUGACAUCUGUAUUUCAAAUUUUUCGAGUAUACAUGCUUUGUAGCAUUUUGGAAGUUUUGAUUUCCAUGGAGAAACUAAGCAAAACAACGGAUUGACAGCAAUUUUUUACGCUCGCAGUAUUAGAUUAUUGAAUGCUGAAUACAAGUUGGCAGACUUUUGGCUUAGAUUAUGUUCGAAAGUGACGAUUGGAUCUUUGAAGUUGCUGUUAAUGAUAUCCAUGGGACAGCGAUACAAACCCACUCUCAAUGUCAGAAUAAAGAAGAAACGUCGUCCACCAAACGACGUAAAAUUGAUGAUUGCAAGGCUUCAUUCAUCGCAGGAAAUGAUACUUGUGAAACCAAAGUGAAUGCCACAAAGGCCACAAAGGAUUUGUUGCAUAAUAAUUUACUCGACAGCAAUAAGAAUGAUGUUACACGUGAACACCUACUACUAGGAAUUUUUCAGAAGAAUAUCUCUCAAAAGAUAACAGGAGAGAAACAAUAUCCUCAGUCGUCUAAAACAAAUACAUCAAGCUCAUCUUCAUGUGAGCAGCCCAAAGAAAAAAAAAGCAUUAACUUUACGAAUAAAGCAGCAGUUGGUAAAGAAGCAAAGUUGAUUAGAAUAUUUCCUGGACCAGCUGGAUUAAUAGCACGCAUGAAAAAUGGCAAUACCUCUGUUGCUGCAUACUUAAACAAAGUGAAAGAAUUAGAAAGUAAAUCAACAACGGAGCACAUUGAAAAUAAUUUCUCUAAGUCAUCCCAAGAUGAGAAGAACUUGUUUGGUGAGAAAGCUUGGAAGUUUUUACUGGAUGAUCUGCCAAGAAAUUUUUUUAAUGAGUAUGGAAUUUCCACUAUUAAAAGUAGGGCAAACGCUAGUCAUUGUAAUAGUAUGAAGGUAAAAUUCGUAGCAGGUAGAUUGGAUUACAUUGAUCAUAGUCACAACGAUCCAUUUAUUACAUUAAAAGAUUCAACAGAUAGUAUAGAAGGCAUCGUUCACCGCGACAUUCCAUUGAAUUAUCCAGGUGUAUUGGAACCAAAUGUGAUUCUCCUUUUACACGAUGUAGGUUUGUUAAAGACUACAACGCGUGUGGUGACUAACAAAUAUCAUAUUUUAGUAUCUCGAGUAAAUUUACUGGCUGUAUAUUCCAAUAAAGGUCGAAUUAUACAAACCUCUCGUAUGGAAAAUAUAUUAUCCAGUAUUUCGAAUAUCGAAUUGACCAAAGGUGAUUGUAUUACGCCGAUUUCGAGUGAUUUCGAUUAUAAAGUCGAAUCACGCCCAACUUCUUCCGUUAAUGCAUCGAAUUAUCAACGAGUUAGUUCGAAACCUAUGUUGGCUAACAAUUCCACACCGUUACAUCAGGUGGACGAAAAAAAGCACGAAAAUUGCAAACAAGAUUUUGAAAAGGAUAAUAAAAAUUGCGAAGCGACGGAUAAAAUAUUCGAAUCUUUCGAGGACUUGAUCGAUAUGGAUGAUGAUAUGAAUGAUGUUUUCUUUACUAUCGAACCUCGCGUCUUAGAUGAGAACAAAUAUUUGAAACAUUCGUCAUCCGAGAAUACUAGUACACAAAUCAGCGAAAUUCAACAACACGAACUGCAAACGCAGAGCAGUGACUGCUUGGAAAAUGCGAGUGGGGGAUCAUCUGCGAUAAAUUUAGCGAAUAAGAUUAAAUCUGCGUCGCCGGUAACGAAGUGUAACGUCGAGAAUUCUAAAAAUCUAGCAAGUUACUUCACUGGUAAAACACUUCAAGAUAGUGAAUUUGAUUCGGACGACGAGAUUCUGUCGCAGUUAGACGUAGAUAACGUUGUUAGUAAUCAUGAAAAGGAUAAAUGAAGAUCUUUUUGUAAAUACUAGAUAUAUCCAGUACUACAGUCGCUCACCAAGUGCUCAGUGAGCGAUUGUAGCACUCUGCUCUUUUCUUGAAAUAAUUACGUAUACGUAAGUUUCAUUGCGCAGCUGUUUAUGAUGCGAUUAUGCGCAAUAAAACUUACGCGACUAUUUCAUGAAUACGUGUCCUGGAUAUAUCCACUGUCUGGCUAAAAUCACUCACGAGAUUAUAUUUCGAAUCGACUAGUAUCGAAAUAAGAGAAAAUGUACUAUAAUGUAUAUAUAUAAGCAAAUACACGACAAAUUAUACUUGAUAUAAUUAUAUAUUUGUGAAUUCUGUGGAAAAUUGAGUUGUGUAGAAAAUUGAAUUGAGUUGUGUUGAAAAUCAUUCGUGCAUUUAACUAUCACACAUUAUAAUCCUUCCAUUCCAAUCUAUUUGUACAUCCAAUAUUUAGCUUUUAUUGUUCUUAUUUCUCUUAAUUAUGUUUUAUCUUUAAAACUCUAGAUAUAUGUUUAGUGGAUAGAUUGUGUUGAAGUUAUACUCGUGAGAUUAUAUUUAAUCGAUUAUAUUUAAUCGAUGUGUCAUCUGUCGUGGAUUUAUGACGUAUGUUAUUAAUUAUAUGACAUGACAACGUCAUCCAAUUCGACACGCGUUUGCGACGUUCACGUGUCAUCCAAUUCGAUCAAUUGGUUUCGUAAUAAAAAAGAUAAUAAUACGUUAUGCGAUUUUACAUAUACAUCAUUAUUGCGCCUCGACAACACGACGUCAAUAGGUUUUUGUGAUGAGUUUGGUGAAUAUUAUAUAAAUGCGAGCGUAAUAUGUAGCUUUGCGUUGCUGUGACUGUGGAAAAAUGAACCGUGCCAACUGCCGAUCUGGAUCGAUUAAUGACUGAAUAAAAGCCGAAUGAUGAUAGAAGAUAAAACGUCGAACUCUUGGAUUCGUGGAGAAUCGGCCGCCUUCCCUACCGAACUCAUUCGAGCCGACCGCUUUAAUCCCUAUCACUGUUCUAUGACUCGGUCAAAUUAUGCUCCAUAAUGCUCCUGCGGUCAGAUAUUCCAGUGAAUUAUCAGACGGUGUAUCUCAGGGUCGAUCCGGUGGAUACACGUUGAUGCACACGCUAACUAUCGAUCCUACGUUCUCUGUGAGGCUCUUCUUUUCAAGGUAAAGCAAGUUUUUCCCGUAGCAGUGUGUUGUAUUCACGGUGGACACUAUUUACGGUGGACAGUAUUUACGUUGCAACGAAACGACGAAGAUAUUAAGCGAGAUAUUGUUACACCGUGUGCACGGACGAAAAAAUUGCGUCUGUUGGUGACAAAAUGUGAGAUAAGAGAUGAUGAAGACCAGGAAAUUACGGCCGUACAAAGCUACUUGUUCUUACGAGAGUGAUUAUCUUGAGAAAUCUCGCGUAUUAUCUAUUUCCGUGUCACCCUCUUGUUUGACAUGCACAUGCCAAUGUUGGAGUGUUGUUUUGUGUAAAUUAUGUGUUAUUAUCUUUAGCGAAUAUUCAACGGCAUCCGGUGGAAUGUUUUGCUAUGUUGUCAUUUUAAUUGGUUUUCAGGCGCCGAUUCAGUAAACAUUCUUUUUUUUUAUUUCUUCCCGGCGGAAGUUUGCCGAGAAACGCGAUGUAAUGUUCCGCUAUGAGUAUUUCUGCGAGUAGCCUUCGCAAGUUAUACGUACGAAGAAAAUAUCUUCCAAUCUAAAGAAGUAAGACGCGAUAAAAAUAUCUUCUAUCAAUAUCAGUGAUUACAUUGUCACGUACCGUUUGCACAAGAAAAUUGCCGGUACUCUCAUCACGUUAUACGUAUACGUGCGAAAUAAUACGCUUGUGAGUUUUCUUCAUUCGCUAAGAAGUAUUUUCGCGCAUAACUCGCAUGUGUACGCUUUGGUUUAAUUUUGCUGAAUCGGAACUACUAUUGCGUGACCAGUGAAUGUAGACGUAGUAAAUAUCACUCAACCAGUUUUCUGUUGAUAUAGUCUGUAUGUUGACGUAGAAAAACGUUCCUAUCGUUUUGGGCAUGGAUUAUUUUAUAAUGUUAAUUUAUAUGAAUCUUAAUGUUGCAACUAAUUAAAUUUUAAUGUGUUGAUGUUUCAA